GGGGGCGGCGGCGGCGGGCGGGGUCAGUGCGGGCCCCGCCGCGCCGCCCGGAGGAGUGGUGGUGGAUCUGACUCUUGACUCGUCCUCUGAGGAGGAAGGGGGCGGGGGCGGCGGCGAGAGCGAGGACACUGAGGACAGCGCGGACAGCCCCACCCCCAAGAGGGGCCGAUACAACUACGACAAGGACCUGGUCACUGCGUACUGACCCCCGCAGCUACUCUUCAACCCACCUCGCCCUCUCAUGGACGAAGGGGCGGGGGCGGGGGGGCUGAAAGCACGGAGAACGGAACAGUAAUACACUAGACACAGUGACCCCCGCAUCAUCAAAAAACAUCACAGCCUUUUAGCAGUUCCACACACAGAUAAAGAAUCUUCAGUCUAGCAUCAUUAGGAUUCCCGUUUGUACUCGACUCAACCACUGGAAGCCAACCACUUUUGGCUGACCAUCAUCCUGCAGCGAAUAUUUGUACUGCACUUCCCUCAAUGAGAGAAAUUCAGUGGAUUACCCGCUCCUCCCCAUCACCUCCUACAAACUCUUUUUCUCGAUGGACGUCGUCAUCUUUGCUGUCUGACCAGGAACAAAAAGCUGUUCACGCCACCGUGCAUUCGUUUUUUUUGGCACAUUUGAGCUGUCUGCGCUUCUCAGUGAAAGGGGAAGUCAAGUCAAAUAUUUACACUAUGUUGUAUGCGGCCCCACAAGUGUAAACACCAUUCUCUGAUUAAUAUUGCGUUCAUGGAAAAUGAAUUAAGCAGCAAAAUACUCAUCCAUGUCUGCGUGGCCAUUUUGCCACUUGCUGUUGACUGAAAAUGACAUCACAUUGCUUCAGGGAUCAGGUAAUGAUCAAUCACAGCUCAGCUUGUCCCAUGACCAAACUUAGAAAACAUGUGAGCUGUGUGGUUGGUCGGUACUUGAGCCUUGAUCAGCUGUGAUGUCCUUUUUAGUCGACACAAAGUGCCAACAUGACUCCCUCCUGAGGUGGAUUUAAAAAAAAAAAAAGUAUAUUUCGCUGCUUAAUUCCGCAAAUGCACUAUUACUCUGAAUGCCGUGUUUGGACGAAUGGGCUGCGAUACGUUAUUGUAAAGAACACUUUUUACUUGACUCCCCCCCUCCCCCCAAAAAGGUGGAAAAAAAGAAAAUAAAUGGCAAAAGAAUAAUCUGAACGUGAUGCAAACCUCUCCUAUGGCAUGUUUUUUUUGUGUUAAGAUUGGAUCCAUUUUAAUUUAAAGUACAUCACUGAUCUGGAUGCGUGAUGCUUUCCAUUUACGUAUUUUAUUUUGCAGUUUUUAGAUCUUUAAAUAAAAACCUACCUCAGUCAUUACACACAGCAGACUGAUCGGAGAACGAGUAAAGGACAGAUUUUCUGACGCCCAUUUUACACUGGAGAUUUUUUUUUCCCCCUUUGUCUUUUUUAAUUUCCAUUGUUCUAUGCAGUUCAUCUUGAGUGGAAUCAGUGCUGUCGUCUGGCUUCUACUUGGGAGAUCCCGUUUCAGGAAAUGGUUGAAGUAUGGCAGCCUUUGGCUGUUCAGUUAGCAGAAGAGAAGCCGCUCUGCUGUGCUUGUUCCCCUUUAUGCGGAAGGAUAUAAAUUAUUCACAAAUGCUGUUAUCUGCCCCUUUCCCUGCGCUUACACCACGUCUACUCGAUUGCAUCAUUCAAUUAUUGAAUCUUGUGUGCAGUUUGGACAUUCAGCUAUCUUAUUAAUAUGACUUUGCUAUUUUGCAGUGGGUUUCAAUUGACUAAUAUAACAUGUCGGUAAACACGAGCAACGUCCUCUUCAGUUCAGUUUGGAUCGGACUUUUUAAUUUGGGGCCCGGAGUCGUUUGCACACUUUUUGUUUAUGACUUUAAAGCCAUUGUGUAGUGAGUAUCCAUCCAAACACCUGCAACAGCACAAGGACCAGAAUAUUGUCUCGCUGCGCUUAGCACGGGAAUCUCGUUGAUACUCUGCAGCUUGAAUUUUGGUUGUACGUUGAGCUAAAUCUGGUCUUCCAACUUGUUUUCUUGCCCACACUCCUCAUAAUCUGUCUACAGGUUAUUGGAGGUCCCACAGGUGUAGGUUUGCUUCUAUGGAACUGAGCCAGAGGCCCCUUUUUUUUUUUUUUUUUUUUUUUUUUUUUUGAUAGGGGGUGAGGUUGAGUACGAGGGCCGAGUGUCUGGUUAUGACUACAGUAUGUUGUGGCAUCUCUUAUGUUAAAUGCAUAAGGUAGCAUGGACAGAUGCUUACAAUCCAUGAUGUAAAUGUUUUUGUUGUUGUUUUUUUUUUUUAUAUGUUCAUAUUAAAAGUCAAUAAAAUGUAAAUGAUA